CUCCCUGUGGCUCAGUUGGUAGAGCAUGGUGUUUGCAACGCCAGGGUUGUGAGUUCGAUUCCCACGGGGGGC
rnacentral:tRNA from 1 species